CGCGGGGCAGCCUUCCGGGAAGGGGCGUUUUCGUGGAGCCACCUGCCGCGCCACGCUCCAGUCCCGUCACUUGUGCUCGCGAGCGCCGGUGCGCGCAGGGGGACCAGCGCUCCCUGGGUGGACCGACCCCACCGCUUACCCAUUGCUGGACGCCUGCCUGGACCGACCCCACCGCUUACCCAUCGCUGGACGCCUGCGUGGACCGACCCCACCGCUUACCCAUUGCUGGACGCCUGCGUGGACCGACCCCACCGCUUACCCAUUGCGGGACGCCUGCGUGCACCGACCCCACCGCUUACCCAUUGCUGGACGCUUGCCCUGUUGCCAUCUCCUCGCUAGCGUGAACAGUGCUGCGUGCAGAUCUCUCUUUCAUUGAUUGUUUUGCGUCUGUACCCAGAAGUGGGAUUGCUGGACCAUCUCUGCCCAUUUUAAAAUUGGGAAAUGACAUGAUCUGAUUUAAGCUAUUUAAAAAUCACCUGGGCCUGGGCUCGGUGGGUCACGCAUGUAAUCACAACACUUUGGGAGGCCGAGACAGGCGGAUCACCUGAGGUCAGAAGUUUGAGACCAGCCUGGCCAACAUGGUGAAACCCGGUCUCUACUAAAAAUACAAAAAUUAGCCGGGCACGGUGGCUCCAGCCUGUAUUACCAGCUACUCAGGAGGCUGAGGCAGGAGACUUGCUUGAACCCAGGAAGUGGAGG
rnacentral:lncRNA from 1 species